rnacentral:rRNA from 1 species
UACGUAGGGUGCAAGCGUUGUCCGGAAUUAUUGGGCGUAAAGAGCUCGUAGGCGGUUCGUCGCGUCGGCUGUGAAAACCCGGAGCUCAACUCCGGGCCUGCAGUCGAUACGGGCGGACUUGAGUGCUGCAGGGGAGACUGGAAUUCCUGGUGUAGCGGUGAAAUGCGCAGAUAUCAGGAGGAACACCGGUGGCGAAGGCGGGUCUCUGGGCAACUACUGACGCUGAGGAGCGAAAGCGUGGGGAGCGAACAGG